UGCCAGCAGCCGCGGUAAGACAGAGGUGGCAAACGCUGUUCGGAAUCACUGGGCUUAAAGGGCGUGUAGGCGGUCGUUCAAGUCGGGUGUGAAAUCCCUCCGCUCAACGGAGGAACUGCACUCGAUACUGUUCGACUAGAGUGCGGCAGGGGUAAGUGGAACUCCAGGUGUAGCGGUGAAAUCCGUAGAUAUUCGGAGGAACACCAGUGGCGAAGGCGGCUUUCUGGACCGAUACUGACGCUGAGACGCGAAAGCGUGGGGAGCAAACAGGAUUAGAUA
rnacentral:rRNA from 1 species